UACGUAGGGUGCGAGCGUUAAUCGGAAUUACUGGGCGUAAAGUGUGCACAGGCGGCCGAGCAAGUCGAGUGUGAAAGCCCCGAGCUUAACUUGGGAACUGCGCUCGAAACUACUUGGCUAGAGUGUGGCAGAGGGAGGUGGAAUUCCACGUGUAGCGGUGAAAUGCGUAGAGAUGUGGAGGAACACCGAUGGCGAAGGCAGCCUCCUGGGCCAACACUGACGCUCAUGCACGAAAGCGUGGGGAGCAAACAGG
rnacentral:rRNA from 1 species